rnacentral:rRNA from 1 species
UACAUAGGUCGCGAACGUUAUCCGGAAUUAUUGGGCGUAAAGGAUGCGUAGGUGGUUCGAUAAGUUACUGGUGGGAAAUCGAGGCUCAACCUCGUGGAAGUCAGUAAUACUAUCGAGCUUGAGUGCAGGAGAGGUUAAUGGAAUUUUAUGUGGAGCGGUAAAAUGCGUAGAUAUAUAAAAGAACAUCAAUUGGCGAAGGCAGUUAACUAUUCUGCUACUGACAUUGAGGCAUGAAAGCGUGGGGAGCAAAACGG